ACUCCUACGGGAGGCAGCAGUGGGGAAUCUUGCGCAAUGCGCGAAAGCGUGACGCAGCAACACCGCGUGGGGGAAGAAGGCCUUCGGGUUGUAAACCCCUUUCAGGAGGGACGAAGGUCAGGCAGUGAAUAGCUGUCCUGACUGACGGUACCUUCACAAGAAGCUCCGGCUAACUACGUGCCAGCAGCCGCGGUAAUACGUAGGGAGCGAGCGUUGUCCGGAAUCAUUGGGCGUAAAGCGCGCGUAGGCGGCCCGAUAAGUCCGCUGUGAAAGUCAACGGCUCAACUGUUGAAUGCCGGUGGAUACUGUCGGGCUAGAGUACGGAAGAGGCAAGUGGAAUUCCUGGUGUAGCGGUGGAAUGCGCAGAUAUCAGGAGGAACACCUAUAGCGAAGGCAGCUUGCUGGGACGUUACUGACGCUAAGGCGCGAAAGCGUGGGGAGCGAACAGGAUUAGAUACCCUGGUAGGCUCUGCU
rnacentral:rRNA from 1 species